UGCACAAUGGGCGCAAGCCUGAUGCAGCGACGCCGCGUGAGGGAUGACGGCCUUCGGGUUGUAAACCUCUUUCAGUAGGGAAGAAGCGAAAGUGACGGUACCUGCAGAAGAAGCACCGGCUAACUACGUGCCAGCAGCCGCGGUAAUACGUAGGGUGCGAGCGUUAUCCGGAAUUAUUGGGCGUAAAGAGCUCGUAGGCGGUUUGUCGCGUCUGUCGUGAAAGUCCGGGGCUUAACCCCGGAUCUGCGGUGGGUACGGGCAGACUAGAGUGCAGUAGGGGAGACUGGAAUUCCUGGUGUAGCGGUGGAAUGCGCAGAUAUCAGGAGGAACACCGAUGGCGAAGGCAGGUCUCUGGGCUGUAACUGACGCUGAGGAGCGAAAGCAUGGGGAGCGAACAGGAUUAGAUACCCUGGUAGUCCAUGCCGUAAACGUUGGGCACUAGGUGUGGGGACCAUUCCACGGUUUCCGCGCCGCAGCUAACGCAUUAAGUGCCCCGCCUGGGGAGUACGGCCGCAAGGCUAAAACUCAAAGGAAUUGACGGGGGCCCGCACAAGCGGCGGAGCAUGCGGAUUAAUUCGAUGCAACGCGAAGAACCUUACCAAGGCUUGACAUGUUCUCGAUCGCCGUAGAGAUACGGUUUCCCCUUUGGGGCGGGUUCACAGGUGGUGCAUGGUUGUCGUCAGCUCGUGUCGUGAGAUGUUGGGUUAAGUCCCGCAACGAGCGCAACCCUCGUUCCAUGUUGCCAGCACGUAAUGGUGGGGACUCAUGGGAGACUGCCGGGGUCAACUCGGAGGAAGGUGAGGACGACGUCAAAUCAUCAUGCCCCUUAUGUCUUGGGCUUCACGCAUGCUACAAUGGCCGGUACAAUGGGUUGCGAUACUGUGAGGUGGAGCUAAUCCCAAAAAGCCGGUCUCAGUUCGGAUUGGGGUCUGCAACUCGACCCCAUGAAGUCGGAGUCGCUAGUAAUCGCAGAUCAGCAACGCUGCGGUGAAUACGUUCCCGGGCCUUGUACACACCGCCC
rnacentral:rRNA from 1 species